rnacentral:lncRNA from 1 species
UUCGAGCUAAGCUACAGGAGUAUGCCACCAGAUUUGAGGCUAUGCUUUGCUUAUUAUUGUGCAGUCUUCCCAACUGGCCACAACAUAGUCAAAGAUGACCUGGUUCAUCAAUGGAUUGCUCUGCACCUCAUUGAGCCAUCUGAAACAUUGUCUGCCGCACAGAUAGCAGAGGAGCAUAUUACCAGGCUUCAGAACAUGUCAUUCCUUCAAACUGCAGAGCUGGACCACGUGAGUAAUUGUCUACUACUCUAUUGUACAAAAUCUGCUGACUUAUAAAGACAGAAAACUGAAGUAAAAUUUGAGUGAAUUGUAUCAUACUUGUUCCUACUGGAUGGAUUACUAAUGUGUGGAUAUAGUAGUAGGUAUGCCCGAGGGACAUGAUAUAGUGAAGCGAAAGAACAACAUACAUCUAGGAAACUAAGACAUAUAUAGGCUACUUACUAAUUUUUAAUUGGAAGAAGAGGAUCCAAUCGGCUGUCCGAUCACGCGCUGGAAUCGGCCGCCUUGGUCGAGCAACACGUGCCGCCCAAGUUGCUGGCUCCCUUCGACAUUAUCCUUUCCUGAGCCACCCCUCCACAAAGGGCCUCUUUGAUUCAAAUAAUUUCUAAAAUAAUUUUGUAGAAUUCUAAUCUUUGNNNNNNNNNNCACUUGCCCCCUCUCGCUCGCCUCUGCGCCUCCCCUCCCCCAGAUCCACCUCUCCCCUCUCCUCCCGCUCGAUCUCGAGCGCGCCCAUCGCCAUGGCCCCAUCCUUGUCACGGCCACCGUCGCCACCUCGCCUCGUCCCCGUGACAGAUCGGUUCUCCGGCCCUCGCUACAUCCUCCCCGACCACCUGCUCGAGCCGGGACCCCCUGCAUCACCCCCCAACGCCGUCGCCUUCUUCCUUGGGUCGCCGCCAUCUUCUUCGACUCCGGCGACUGCUGCUGCUACUAAGCCUCUCACGGGCCUUUCUUGGCCGCACGGUGAGCUCCUCCCUUCCUCCCUUCCUCUCCUCCCGUCGUGCUUUUUGCCGUAGCUAGCUCGCCCGCAAGCCGAGCUCCGCCGUCUGCCAUUGUCGUCAUAGGGCUCGCCUCCGAGCUCCUCCGCUCGAGCCAGUAGCUCCGACGAGCUCCUGGAGCGCCAUAGACCUCGCCUAGCCCUUUACUUCGCUCGCACACGCUCUGUAGCGCCGAUCCUGAACUCCGGCCGAACGCGCCGCCCGCCACUGUCGAUGUAGCGCUCCAUUCCGGUCGAGUUAGCCCACGGGACCGCCGUAGAUCGAUGCGGCGUCGGACGCCCGGUCGAACGCGCCUAACCGCAUCUCUCCCCGUGCCCUGUAGCUUUUUUUCGGCGAAGUCCGGCGAUGCUCCGCCGCGGAAAUGGUCGCCGGCGCGUCUCCGGUGCCGCCCGCCGACGUGGCCCAUCAGGCCCCACCUCACAGCCACUGACCGCGGGCCCCAUGGGCCCCAGAUGACUGGGUUGACCCAGUCAACUGCUGACUGGGCACCAGUGGGCCACUGACGUGUGGGUCCCGCGCGUAAUUAAUCUAAUUUGAAGUUAAAACUUUAAUUAGUAAAUAGAUUAGUCUAAUGUAUCACUGACAUAUUGGGCCCACACCCCUUAUUAGUUUAGUUAGAUUAGUUAAUUCGCUGUUAUAGCCACUCUCACUGACCAGUGGGUCCCGCUGGACCCACAGGUCAGGUUUGACCUGGUCAGCCGACCAGCUGGCUGCUGACGUCAUCCUCUAGUCAUGCUGACGUCAUAAUUCCAAUUCUGUUAAUUUAGAUAAUUCCAAAAUAUGUUUUAAUCUUUGAAAAUUCGUAGAAAAUAAACCGUAGCUCGGAUGAAAAAGUUUUAUACAUGAAAGUUGCUCAGAACGACAAGGCAAAUUGGAAUGCGUGGUCCGUUUACCUGUCACAUGCCUCUAUCUGUCUGAACAUGGAACAUUUCCCCUCCGGUCAUCUGUCUCACACAGGUCCGGAACCGGGAAAGCAUUUCCGGUUGAAUUCCCCCUUCACCUAUAUCGUGUAACCCUGUGUUAGAACACCUCUAGCAUCGCUUAUUGUCAUGUUAUGCAUAUGUUUGCGUGUAUUUACUGUUUCUUCCCCUCUUCUCUCCGGUAGACCCCGGGACCGCUGCUGAUGCCCCUACGAUCGACUACGUCGACGACGACCCUCCUUCUCGCCUGAGCAACCAGGCAAGCCCCCCCUUUGAUCAUCUUGAUAUCGCCCAUUCCAUUCUCUCAUGCUUGCAUUAGAUUUUGCUAUUGUUAUUGAUUGUUCCUAUUCUGAUGCAUAGCCUGCUUUUGUAACCUGCUCAUUGUACCUUACCUGCUUAUCCUAAACUGCUUAGUAUAGGUUGGUUAGUGAUCCAUUAGUGACCCCCACCUUGUCCUUGUUGCCCCUGCUUCAUCUUCGACGACUCGAUCAACGUGAUCGAUGACCAGAGCCUGACACCUCACAUCACAUCACGCCCCUUUAGUUGCUCGACUCUGCAGAGCUACUAUCGAGUGCUGAGGGUGAUCCCUCAUAAUGCACUCCUGAUGAUAAUUCUGUAGUGUAGCUAUUCGGGCGUGGUCAUCGAGGGUGAUUUCCUCUUUCACCAUUCCUGAUACGGCUCUGUCGUUCAACACCUCAAGUGUGAACCUCGAGGGUGGUCCCUCUUAAAUUCACCUUGAUGAUUACAUUGAGUGGAAUCCACCGGGGGUGAUUCCCCGGGUUUUCCCCUUGAUGUCUGGACACACGGUUACCUUGACUUUACUUGAGACCAUUGUUGAAGUCGGGUCGGCCCUGAGGGGUACCCGCGAGUUGAUGUGAAAAUCGGGCGGGCCCGUAGAGCACCCGCGAGUUUUCCACGUGGCACGGCCGGGCAGUCUGGGCCCUUGCCGUAAGUCCAUGAGACGGGGCGACGGGGUCACAUUAUCGUGAGUCUCUGCUCGUCUCCGCGAGCCCCCAAUGCACUAACAGGUUUGGGUAUUUGUUCNNNNNNNNNNUCCGCGGUAAUGGAUGUUCAGACUUAUAUCCUGAUCUUAUAUAACUAGAAACGGAUACUUGAGAUAUGUGAUGGAUAUGUGGCUCCGAGAUUGCUUUCCCGCAGGGAGUCGAGGAAGGAUCUCUGGGCGUUGAUGUUACAACAUGCUUGUUAAAUAUUAAAAUGUUACUCUUUACUCUUCUACAUGCUGCAAGAUGCUUGGAGCUGCUUGAAGAUGCUAGUCUUCGAUAGGCUAGGCCUUCCCCCUCUAUUCUGGCAUUCUGCAGUUCAGUCCACAGAUACAAACCUUCCUUUUGAUACCAAUGCAUACUUAGUAUACAUCUGAUGCUUGCGAGUACUUUGGAUGAGUACUCACGGUUGCUUUGCUACCCCUUUUCCCCCUUCUUUCUUCUUUCCGGUUGAUGCAACCAAAUGAUGGAUCCCUGGAGCCAGAUGCCACCGUCGAUGGAUACUACUGUAUGGAGACCGCCGACGACCAGGAGUAGUUAGGAGGUCCCAGGCAGGAGGCCUUGCCUCUUCGAUCGUUGAUGUUUGUGCUAGCCUUCUUAAGGCAUCCUUGUUUAACUAAUGUCUGUACUCAGAUAUUGUUGCUUCCGCUACUGCUUGUGUAUCGAGCUAUGUAUUCGAGCCUUCGAGGCCCCUGGCUUGUAAUAUAAAGCUUGUAUUAUUUCUAUUUGUGUCUAGAGUUGUGUUGUGAUAUCUUCCCGUGAGUCCCUGAUCUUGAUCAUACACAUUUGCGUGUAUGAUUAGUGUACGAUUGAAUCGGGGGCGUCACAGGUGAGGAUAGGUCAUUGUUGUAGUUUGUCGAUCGCUUUGAGUUUUUCUCUCUCGCGCUUAGGCAUAGUUUGGUCUUGUAUUACUUUGCUAUUUGCCGACUUGUUUUUUGGUGUUUGUGUGUGCGUAUGUUGUUUAUUGUGUGCAUUCUAACUAUGUAGAGUCAGAUGUGUUGAGUAUUGUGUCUAUAGCUACUUGACGCUUCAUUUGGAGUCAGUAAAUUCACCCUUUGUGAAAGGAAAAAACCCUGAUAUUUCCCGAGUGUGGUUAUCCCUUGCAAGAUUCGAGCUAAGCUACAGGAGUAUGCCACCAGAUUUGAGGCUAUGCUUUGCUUAUUAUUGUGCAGUCUUCCCAACUGGCCACAACAUAGUCAAAGAUGACCUGGUUCAUCAAUGGAUUGCUCUGCACCUCAUUGAGCCAUCUGAAACAUUGUCUGCCGCACAGAUAGCAGAGGAGCAUAUUACCAGGCUUCAGAACAUGUCAUUCCUUCAAACUGCAGAGCUGGACCACGUGAGUAAUUGUCUACUACUCUAUUGUACAAAAUCUGCUGACUUAUAAAGACAGAAAACUGAAGUAAAAUUUGAGUGAAUUGUAUCAUACUUGUUCCUACUGGAUGGAUUACUAAUGUGUGGAUAUAGUAGUAGGUAUGCCCGAGGGACAUGAUAUAGUGAAGCGAAAGAACAACAUACAUCUAGGAAACUAAGACAUAUAUAGGCUACUUACUAAUUUUUAAUUGGAAGAAGAGGAUCCAAUCGGCUGUCCGAUCACGCGCUGGAAUCGGCCGCCUUGGUCGAGCAACACGUGCCGCCCAAGUUGCUGGCUCCCUUCGACAUUAUCCUUUCCUGAGCCACCCCUCCACAAAGGGCCUCUUUGAUUCAAAUAAUUUCUAAAAUAAUUUUGUAGAAUUCUAAUCUUUGAACAACAUGGAAGCUUCUUGUUAUGAUAAUAGCCCCCUUGCGAUAAGUUCAUCUUGUAUCCA